rnacentral:rRNA from 1 species
GAUGAACGCUGGCGGCGUGCCUAAUACAUGCAAGUCGAGCGAACGGACGAGAAGCUUGCUUUUCUGAUGUUAGCGGCGGACGGGUGAGUAACACGUGGAUAACCUACCUAUAAGACUGGGAUAACUUCGGGAAACCGGAGCUAAUACCGGAUAAUAUUUUGAACCGCAUGGUUCAAAAGUGAAAGACGGUCUUGCUGUCACUUAUAGAUGGAUCCGCGCUGCAUUAGCUAGUUGGUAAGGUAACGGCUUACCAAGGCAACGAUGCAUAGCCGACCCGAGAGGGUGAUCGGCCACACUGGAACUGAGACACGGUCCAGACUCCUACGGGAGGCAGCAGUAGGGAAUCUUCCGCAAUGGGCGAAAGCCUGACGGAGCAACGCCGCGUGAGUGAUGAAGGUCUUCGGAUCGUAAAACUCUGUUAUUAGGGAAGAACAUAUGUGUAAGUAACUGUGCACAUCUUGACGGUACCUAAUCAGAAAGCCACGGCUAACUACGU